CAAUUAUUUCAACAUUAUAAUAUGCUAAUCCAAUUUUAUUUAAUUGGAUUUGAGGUCAUUUUUUAAAGCUUUAGACAGUUGACAUUGUAAUCUUCGUGAAUGGACCUUUGAUUCUUUCUUAACUAAGUCGUUAUUGGCAAAAAUCAAUGUUCACUUUUGACAAAAGUCCUAAUAUGCAACUCACAUAAUGUGAACUUACCACUUCUCUUGCACUAACUCUUUCUGUCCAUUCCAGUUCACCCCUCCAUGUCUUAAUCUCACGUCAUGGGAGGAAUAAUUUAUCACGUACAAUUAUGAAAAAAAUUCUGAAGAGGAGAAAACUGUUCAAACCUUUCAAGUAUCCAGUAGAAUUGUAUAACGAACGUAUGUAUUUGCUCAUUUCUUAGUUUUGUUUUAGCCUAGUCAAGUAUUUUUUAUACA